rnacentral:rRNA from 1 species
UAGGGAAUCUUCCGCAAUGGGCGAAAGCCUGACGGAGCAACGCCGCGUGAGUGAUGAAGGUCUUCGGAUCNGUAAAACUCUGUUAUUAGGGAAGAAUAUAUGUGUAAGUAACUGUGCACAUCUUGACGGUACCUAAUCAGAAAGCCACGGCUAACUACGUGCCAGCAGCCGCGGUAAUACGUAGGUGGCAAGCGUUAUCCGGAAUUAUUGGGCGUAAAGCGCGCGUAGGCGGUUUUUUAAGUCUGAUGUGAAAGCCCACGGCUCAACCGUGGAGGGUCAUUGGAAACUGGAAAACUUGAGUGCAGAAGAGGAAAGUGGAAUUCCAUGUGUAGCGGUGAAAUGCGCAGAGAUAUGGAGGAACACCAGUGGCGAAGGCGGCUUUCUGGUCUGUAACUGACGCUGAUGUGCGAAAGCGUGGGGAUCAAACAGGAUUAGAUACCCUGGUAGUCCACGCCGUAAACGAUGAGUGCUAAGUGUUAGGGGGUUUCCGCCCCUUAGUGCUGCAGCUAACGCAUUAAGCACUCCGCCUGGGGAGUACGACCGCAAGGUUG